rnacentral:rRNA from 1 species
UACGUAAGGGGCGAGCGUUGCUCGGAAUUACUGGGCGUAAAGGGCGUGUAGGCGGCCCGAUAAGUCGAACGUUAAAAACCACGGCUCAACCGUGGGGCUGCGUUCGAAACUGUCAGGCUUGAGUUUGGUGGAGGGUGAUGGAAUUCCCGGUGUAGCGGUGAAAUGCGUAGAUAUCGGGAAGAACACCGAAGGCGAAAGCAGUCAUCUAUGCCGAAACUGACGCUGAGGCGCGAAAGCAUGGGGAUCAAACAGG